rnacentral:snoRNA from 13 species
CGGAAGGGCUCAUACAUGUGCAAUAUUCUCUUAAUGAACUGCACACCACAUACCUUCCAAAAUUAUUGUUGCUCUCUGAUGACCGCAGUUGGUUAAGUUUUUAACUGGGGACAGAUACGGGGCACACACCA